rnacentral:rRNA from 1 species
AGUGGCGAACGGGUGAGUAAAGCAUCGGAACGUGCCCAGUAGUGGGGGAUAGCCCGGCGAAAGCCGGAUUAAUACCGCAUACGACCUAAGGGUGAAAGGGGGGGAUCGCAAGACCUCUCGCUAUUGGAGCGGCCGAUGUCAGAUUAGCUAGUUGGUGGGGUAAAGGCCUACCAAGGCGACGAUCUGUAGCUGGUCUGAGAGGACGACCAGCCACACUGGGACUGAGACACGGCCCAGACUCCUACAGGAGGCAGCAAUGGGGAAUUUUGGACAAUGGACGAAAGUCUGAUCCAUCCCUGCCUCGCGUGGGAAGAAAGCCUUCGCGUUGUAAACCGCUUUUGUCUCGGAAAAAAACUUCUGGG